rnacentral:lncRNA from 1 species
ACCGCCCGCCGGGCGGGGGCGGCUCCUGCGCGCACACAGCGGCCCUCGGCGGCUCUCAGGUCGGCCGCAGGUCGUGCCAAGCGCCAAGACCCCAGGCCGCGGGGAGGACGCCGUUCAGUUCUGCCGCCUCCUCCAGCCCUGCGUCGCCGCCCCGCGUCUGUCGUCAACCGCGGCUGCCGCCCCGACGUCACAGCGCAGGCGCACGCCCGCCGCUCCGUCUGCAGGGGCGGGGGACGCGGCGGUGCUCGACCCUCAGAGCCGCUCGCCGCGCGCGGCCCGGGCUGCCCCGGACCCCGAGAAAUCCUGCAGGCUGAAGCCGCCUGGUGGCAACACGCGCACUGCGGGCACUUGCCUUCCGGAGGGGCGGAGCGGACCGCUGAGCUCUCGGGACAGAGGCCGCCGCCUCGCGAGUCGAUGCGGAACUAGGUCCUCAGGUUACCGUCCAGCGCGGACAGUGGGGCGCGGCCUGCCAGCGGGGGCCGGGCCUCCGGCUGGGGCUGGCCUGCCCCGGGGACACGGCCGAGCCCGCGGGCCGCCGGCGUCGGGAGCUGCCUCGGGCGCGGGCGCGGCUGCGGCAGGAGCGGCCCGUCCGGGAGCGGCGCCCCGGCCCGUCCAGGGCAGCCUUCUGCCCGCGCGGGAGCCCGAGGCCAUCCACACCGAAAGUCGCCCGCUGAAUCGCCCUCCCGCCUCCAAGAACACAGGAAGCCCCAAACACUAACACCUCGAUUCCAGAUACGCCGCCACGUGCAGGUGCCUCUCCUUUUCCUAUGUACGAGGUGGUGGACCGUCCACACGAAGACCUGUAAGAGCGAGGGGAUGCUGUUCCUAACCGCGCGCUGACGGCAGCGGGACGCUUGUCUGGGCGAACCAGGAUACUAGUCUAUAGGGUCACCUUGGGCGAUUUGAGCAAUUUAUCUAAAUGUAUCUAAACUCACAAAACAUUCUUGACCCCUCACACUCUCCCGGUGAAACGGAAGGAAGGAGGGAGUGAAGCGAUUUUAAAAAGAAACAAAGCCCAAUUCAGCACUGCGUUUGGAAAAAUGUCCCGUUUUGUUAAGAACACUGAGACCUAGUUAGCGUAUUUUGCACCACUUUUGUUAAAUAUUUGGAGAUUUAUUUGUAAACACUGCAACAAUUUCUGUGGACAUCAGCGAAGCAACGUUAGCAAGUGUCACGGGGGAAGUGGAACUAGCCUGUGUUCCAGACUGACUUGGCAUUUCUUCCCAAGGGGUUCUCUCUGUGCAUUAUCUUUAUAUAUAUAUAUAGUGAUUACUUACAUAUAUACAGAUUUUGAAAAAAAAUAGAGACUUUUUUUCUAUCCGCAUCCUAGUUGCCUAACUAUAUGUGAUCAAUAGCCAACCAAUGUUUUUUAUCAAACUUGUAGCUCAUACUAUGUGCAUACACCAUGUGUUUUAAGAAUUUUACAUAUAUUAACUCAUUUAAUCCUCACAACAACCCUUUGAAGUAAGUAUAUUGUUAUCAUUCCCAUUUUACAGAUAGGGAACCUGAGGCAAAGAGAGGUUAAAUAAAUUGCCCCAAAUCUCACCCCUAAUAAAUUGCACAGAUGGGCCUGGAACCCAGGAUUAGAAUGCAGGCAGUCUACUCUCAGAGUCCAUGCACCCAAGCUCUAAACUGUGCAGACCCGACCUGUGAACACCUCCUAAGGGCAACAGGAGAUGUACCAGCUGGCUUAAUUAAGCGUCUUUGCUAAAGAUGUGUUCUACUGCUGUCCAGACCUCUUUAAUAAAUGUUCCCAUCAGCCAUCCCAGAACAGAGCCACCACUAGGAUUCCCGCCGGUGGUGUGAGGCCUUUAGCAGUGUGACCCAGUCUUCUUUCUCUCUAACCCUCAACUUCAGCUCAACUAAAAACUCCAGUUCAUACUUUCCUGCCUCAGCAUUUUCUCUGUGCUUUUCCUCCACCUAGAAUGCCUCCCAAGGCACCUCUCACCACUCAACGUCUUUUAUUGAAACCCCGUCUACCAGAUCAAGGCCCAGAUGAAACUGGCAUUCCAUUGUCACACGAGACAGAAAUUCUCCUCCAAAGUCUGAAGUCCUACCGCAUUUAUUAUCUCCCCCACCGCGUGCCUGCAUAUCUUCUCUCUCCUACUCUGUCAGCAAUUUCCUUCCCCCACAAUACUUAGCACAGCACAUUUCCACAUAAAUACUUCUCAGUGAAUGUAUAGCCCCACAUUGUCUGCCCUUCAUCCAUCCUCUCUGUUGAAUAUUUGCAAAAAAUCAUGUCUUGAUUAUUUCAAAAAGAAAAGACUUCCUCCUGCUAGAAGAGCCAGGAUUUUAGACAGGUGUCUGUUCCUCUCCAGUUCCAGAAGUAGACCCUGACCCGCCUGGGCCGGUGCUACCCAAUAGGAUUACAAAGCAAGUUGCAUGUGCAAUUCUAAACUUUCUAGUAGCCACAUUAAAAAAGUAAAAACAAACAGGUAAAAUUAUUUUUAAUAAUAAAUUUUAUUUAACCCAAUAUAUCCAAAA